GCGCCUGUAGCUCAACGGUAGAGCAAUUGUCUUAUACACAAUCGGUUCUAGGUUCAAAUCCUAGCGGGCGCA
rnacentral:tRNA from 1 species